rnacentral:misc_RNA from 1 species
AAGAUGAAACAGCAUGAUUAGAUAAGUGCCUAUUAGUUUAUCUUUAAUUAUAAUUUAAAACGUUAAUGCAAAGACUAAUUAUUUUAUUUCUUAGCUAGUCUGACUUGAUUUAUCGACUACAAGCACAUCGCUCAACUUAACAAACUCAAGUUCAAGAAACUCAAGUUCAAGUCUUCACUUCCCAGUUUUUUCAAAAAAGUAAAUAAAUAAAUUAUAGGCUAAGCUUUCAAUGGCAACAAACAGAAAUCGAUGGGCAUAGCAUGUGAGGAAGCCACCAAAAAAUAUUUAAAAAAAAUUGUCUGGUCUUUGCGGCUUGUAAGGGAUGGUCUCAGAUUACAAUUUACAAAUUCAUAGUUUUUGAAUUUGGCCACCUAUUUUAUUUUAAGGACAGGGUUGAGAUUCUAAUCUAAAAUUAAUUAGUUUAUUUAAAAAAUUAAAUAAAUAAAAUUAAUUUAGAAAAAAAAAUAUCAACGUUUGACUUCGAACUGAACUAACCACCAAUCAACGCUAGUAACAUGGAACGCAGGAAGGCCUCAAAGCAAUUGAUUUCUCACAAACUGGAGCUCAGAUGAGGCCAAAAAGCAUCUCCAGUUAGCAUAAAAAACGUAGAGAUUCAACAGUUGAAUAAGAGGCCAAAACAUCUCACGGGGCCAAUAUGGCAGAGCCCUUAGGCAUUCUAUGUCCAUUUAGAAACUAGGACUUUCAGCAAGUAUAGGUGUUCCUAGGGUACCAUACCCAUAAAAUCAAACCCCUAGAGCAGAGUCACCGCAAACACAACAUAGACAGCAUAGCUAUCACCACAGUUGCUCCAAAUCGAGAGACCCCCUGCAUGCAGUCACAACACCACAGAGAACGUCUAUCUCCGGGCUCCCUCUCUAGUGGAAAGCACAACUAGCAACCCAAUCAACAAAAGAUCCUACCAUUUACAAUCUUAUCCAGAGGUGGAGGGAAGGAAACCCACUUUCGAGCAAGGACGAUUGCCAUCCCCUACCUGGAUAGGGUAGGGGACAGCCACACAGAGGCAGUGAAACGAGUAAGUCGCCUAUGGAAGGGAAGAAUAGAACAAGAGAAAAAAGAAAGUUUGCGGCUCUGCCAAAAUAGCUAUUGUAAUUGAGAAUUAUAAAUGGUAGAUAGGCUCUAUAUGCACUCCAAUUGCAUCAAGAUAGUAACCACACCUUCCAUGGAACCCAGUGACCUUGUCACCAGCCGAUGCCAGUGAAAAGUGAUUUCCCUUGUUUAAGCCAAAUGGUCCAUAGGUUUUUCUGUUGCUUUGAAAUGUAAGAGACUGCACAAUCUCUAAACCAUAUUCCUUGCCGUAGGUUCCUGAAACCGAAAUCAGAAACUCACCUGGAUAAUCCAAUAUGACCUUUUUCAACAUGCCUUGAGCUUUUGAUCCAUGUUUUGGAGACGAUACAGGUUGUCCAUUUUUAUCAUACUCAAAACGGACAGAUUCAAUUCCAAAUUCACAAAUUGUUAGUUGUAUCUGUCUUAUUGCGCUGUAAAAUUGAUCAUCCCAUGCAUCUCCACCUUGGCCUCCAAACGGGCCAAGAACAACUGGUGAGAUUGCUUUGACGUGUACUCCUAUUGAAGUGAGAUAGCCAUAAGCCGAACCAUGAAAUCCAAUGAUCUUGCCAUGCAAAGAUGGUGUUGAGAAAGGGAUUCCUCUCAUAGUACCAAAAGGUCCAUACGUUCUUCUAUUGCUUUGAAUUGUAAGAGAACAUAUAUAUUUAUUAUUAGUAAAUGAGCCAUAAUAUCCUGAGAUUGAAACCAAGUACUCACCAGGGUAGUCAAGUUUGACCUGCAAGAUCACAAUCAAAACUCACUAGAAUUUGUAUGGUAAUCAGAUUAUUAAACCCUGUUAACUUUUGAUAGAUAAUUCAUCAAAAUAAUAUUUACAAGGACCAUUAAAAAUUUGAAAAUUUUAAUGGACUAACCAUGUAUUUACUGCCUCCAUUGCUACUACCACGCUUUUGAGACCAUAGAGAGCGACCAUGCUUAUCAUACUCAACAUGCAAGGAAUCAACUAUGGAUCCAGCUCCUAUGAUCAAUUGCCUUAUUGUAGUGUGAAUUCCAUCGUCCCAAUGCUGUCCUUGUCCUCCACAUUGUUCACAAGUUUGGUACUGAUAUGACAUUGGAAUUGGCUUUAAAUACACUCCAAUAGAGUGAAGAUAAUCACCACAUGUUCCAUGAAAUCCUAUUAUUUUUCCAUAUGCUAUAGAUGAAAGCGAGAAUUCAUGGUUUCCUUUCCCACUACCAAAGGGUCCAUAUGUUUUUUUGUUGCUUUGGAAUGAAAGUGAUUGAAUUAUGGUGGAACUAGCAUUUGUACUGUAUGAGCCUGAAAGUGAAAUGAGGAACUCUUCUGGGUAAUCAAGUUUGAUCGUGUAUGUCUUGUCUCCAAUGCUCUGCCCACGCUUUGAAGACCAUAAAGAGUGUCCAUUCUUGUCAUAAUCAAUGCAAACAUAGUUGACCAUAGAUCCACAAGAAAUUACCAAUUGCCUAAUUGUAGUUUGCACUCCAUCAUCCCAUGGGUCACCACCUUGACCUCCAAAUGGCCCAAUGAAUUCAGAUGGUUUUGGAUAUGAGAUUGGCUCCACAUGUGCCCCAAUUGCAUAGAGAUAGCCACUGGAUCUUCCAUGGAAUCCUAAAAUCUUGCCAUCAAAUGAUGGAAAGCAGAUAUACGUACCAAAUUGUUGACCAAAUGGUCCAUAAGUUCUUCGGUUGCUUUGAAAUGUUAGUGAUGUAAAUUCGUAAUUGUUCAUUUCAUUAACAGAGUCGUAGUAACCAGUAACUGAAGUUAGAAACUCAUCUGGGAAAUCAAGUUUGAUCGUAUCAAUUUUGGAUUCAUAAUCUCCACCAUGGAGAGUGGACCACACUAGUGAACCACCAUCAUUGUAGUAUUCAGUAGAGAUGGAACUAACAAAAUUUCCAUGCGCUAUUCUUAUUUGCUUUAUGGCAGAAUGAAUUUCAUCAUCCCAUGAUAAAGCAUUCCCUGCACCAAAUGGACCAACAGUUUUCACCAUAUACAGAUCUGAGGUAGGCUCUAAAUGUCCACCUAUUGAAUAUAGAUGGGCACCACACUUGCCAUGAAAACCAAUAAUUUUUCCCUCAGUUGGAGGGAAAGAAAAGUACUUUCCUUUUUCUACACCAAAAGGUCCAUAAACUCGUCUGUUAGUAUGGACAUUAAGUGACUGAACCACAAUAGGAGAAGAGUUUGCACCAUGGUAUCCUGAUAUUGAAGUCACAUACUCAUCUGGGUAAUCUAGUUCAACCACAUUUGUGUUGCCUCCAUUGUUUCCUCCAUGCCUAGAAGAUGAUACUAAGCUCCCAUCUUUGUCGUACUCAAUAAGAAUGGAGUUGAUUAUUGAUUCAGAUGCCACAAUUAUUCGCCUUAUAGUAGUGUACACCCCAUCGUCCCAAGAAAUUCCAGUGUUGCCUCCAAAUGGACCAAUAGAUUUGAAAGGAUGAAUUGGCUCCACAUGUACUCCAAUUGAUUUAAGGUAAGGACCAACACUCCCAAAGAACCCAACAAUCUUGCCAGCAGUAGAUGGAACCAAAAAAUAGUUGCCUCCUUUAGUGCCAAAUGGUCCAAAUUCUCUUUUAUUGCUUUUUACAUAUAAUGAAGAGAUAAAAAUAUGACCCGUGUAUACAUUAUAGUGACCUGAGAUAGAGGUCAGAUACUCAUCCGGAUAAUCUAGUUUUAUCUCAUGGGCACUUCCACCAAAAUGGCCAUUUGCCUCAGACCACAAAGAGCACCCAUUCUCAUCAUACUCUACAGUUAUGCAGUCAACAAUCAUUCCAGAUCUUAUAAUCAAUUGUCUAACUGUGGUAUGAGCUCCAUGAUCCCAUAAAUUCCCAGUCCCACCUCCAAAUGGCCCAGCAAUUAACGUCUUCUUCAUGAAGCUCAAAUGCUGUCUUUAUGUCUAGUAGGUCUGUGGUUCUUCCCUUGUAGGAAACAAAAGCAUUAAAACUUUGAUAUGCUAUGUCUACCCAUCUCCUAUGGGAUACCUACAAGUAGUAAGAAAAAUACUCUCAAUAACAAGAAAUAAUAAAAGUAGUAAUUUAAAAGUUACAAGUACGCUUGGUUCCAUAACACUUUCAUAUACGCGCGUUACUGCAACAAUCAAAACAUAGUCAUGCCACUCAUAUCACUUUCAACAUGUUAGAUCGCAAUCCCAAACACAUAUCACACUCCAAAAUGACUUUCAUAGUUAAUAUUAAGAAUCUCCGUAUUAAGGUGCACUUUCACUUCCUUGCACUCAUUUCUACUAUCCUUUUUGUCAUUACAUAUUCAUUCUUACACUAAAAAUAGUCAUCCACACACAUUCGGUUUACCAUUUUGGGUCUCAAUGUCAAUUUUUUUUUUUUUUCCAUACAUUUAGGAUAAUCAUGAGCCAAUCUAGCAAGUUGACAAAAAAGAACUAAUUGUUUGCAAAUAAGGUUAUCUAUAUUCUUAGUUAAUUCAGUCCACAAGUUUUUGGUUCAUUAUCUCAUCCUUUUCUAAGGAUUUACAGAACAUAAAUAACAUGGUGAGUCAUCAAGACCCAAUUUCAUAUAUUCAUUACGGUAACACUAAGCAGAACUUGGAAAUUUAUCCAUCAUUCAAGAUUAAGCAAACAUGGUAAAGGAAGCAACACAUUUAUGCAAAAUAUCACUAGAGCAUAAUUGCUUAACAGAGGGCAGCAAAGUUGCUAAACAAAAGUGCAGCGAAGCUACCAGAACAAAAGGCAGCUGAGCUACAAAUAAGAGGAGUAGCAGAGAUACCAAAAUAGAGGGCAGCAGAGCUAUAGAUCAGAGGUAUAGUGAAACUUGCUAUCAAAGUCAAAGCUGGUAAUUGUACUACCUUUUGGUCACUUCCAUCAAUUCAUUACUAGUAGACGAGCUACUUAUCACUACCUCUACUCUGUGCAUAAGGACAUUGUGGCUUUUGUAACCAUUCAUAUCACUUUGUUAUACAAUUUCAUUUCUGUUUUCAGGAAUGGUUCGUAAGAUCAUCUUACUCUAAAAGUAGAACAUUACAGACAGUCCUUAUUUUAGGCAUCAAAAAUAUAAUUCUUGUCCUUGUAUGAUUUCCUAAAGUCAAGAUUAAGGACGCGCCUAAGGCGCAAGGCGACCCCAACUCCCGACACAACGCCUUGAAGCUCUCCAGGCAGGUAAUCUUAAUGAGGCGAACCCAGGCAGCCGAGGCGCAAGGCACCCCAGCCACAUCAGGCACAAGAAACCCAUUUUCUUUAGACUAUC